ACCAUAAAACUAUGCCAGAAACAAUAAGCACAAAAUAACACUAUGUUUAUCAAAAUCCCUGCCUUGACAUAAUUGGUUGUGAGACUAGAACCAUUAUGAAACAAAAUAUUGAUGGUGAUUA